rnacentral:rRNA from 1 species
UCCGAGUGUUUCCUGCUAAAGGAAUCUUUUGUUAGUUCUAAAACCACUGAUGAAUAAGGGGUGGGCAAGUUCUGGUGUCAGCCGCCGCGGUAAAACCAGCACCUCAAGUGGUCAGGAGGAUUAUUGGGCCUAAAGCAUCCGUAGCCGGUUCUGUAAGUUUCCGGUUAAAUCCACUAGCUCAACUAAUGGGCUGCCGGAAAUACUGCAGAACUAGGGAGUGGGAGAGGUAGACGGUACUCGGGAGGAAGGGGUAAAAUCCUUUGAUCUCUUGAUGACCACCUGUGGCGAAGGCGGUCUACCAGAACACGUUCGACGGUGAGGGAUGAAAGCUGGGGGAGCAAACCGGAUUAGAUACCCGGGUAGUCCCAGCUGUAAACUAUGCAAACUCAGUGAUGCAUUGGCUUGUGGCCAAUGCAGUGCUGCAGGGAAGCCGUUAAGUUUGCCGCCUGGGAAGUACGUACGCAAGUAUGAAACUUAAAGGAAUUGGCGAGGGAGCACCACAAGGGGUGAAGCCUGCGGUUCAAUUGGAGUCAACGCCAGAAAUCUUACCCGGAGAGACAGCAGAAUGAAGGUCAAGCUGAAGACUUUACCAGACAAGCUGAGAGGUGGUGCAUGGCCGUCGCCAGCUCGUGCCGUGAGAUGUCCUGUUAAGUCAGGUAACGAGCGAGAUCCCUGCCUCUAGUUGCCAC